CAACAGCUCACACUGAUUGAACAAUUAAUGUAUGAGAGUGUCUGGCUCGUUUGACCCUCACAGGGACCUUCAAGGGACCACUGUAACACAGUCUGCAGAUGACAACCUCCAGUUCCCCAUCACUGAGCUUAAGUAACCUGCUCAAGCAGCUGCUAUGCGAUAGAGCCUCGACCUGAACGCAGAUCUGGUUCCUCAAUAAGUGCUUUUUUCUCCACGUCACUCUGUGAAAGUAACCGACUGGGACUGCCUUGACCGGGACGAUGGCGGCAGAGGAGCAGAGAGAGGCUCAUGGCGCCUUAUUGCUGCCCGAAGAGAAACCUGCCCCUGACACAGGAGAGCCCCUGUGCUUCCUCGAUCUCACUUUACCUGAAAUAAAGCCACGCCGUGAACAAGCUUGAACUGAUAUUCUCCGUCGCGGUCGGCACCUCAGAGAGGGAGCAGAGGGAGCAUGUGUGCGCCCGGCUGCCCAGGGGACAGCUGGAAGCAGGUCAUUCCUUCCCCUCACACUUCCACCAGGCUUCACGUUUCUUUUGAAUAUCCUGCUUUCAGCUGCAACUUUCAUAUGCCUUUUUAAUUCUACUCCAUAAUGUAUCCAUAUCUUAGAAAAAUAGAAUUGAGGCCACACCCCUGCCAACAUGAUGAAUAGGAGUCACAUUUCCUGACCUCUUGGUUUUAUUUAAGCUGUUGGCUUUUGUGUCCUCUAAUUCCACAGGCUGCUUUGUGUUUUCAGAAAAGAAAAAAAAAAAAAAGAAAUCAGAACACAUG